ACUAAGCGUACACGGUGGAUGCCCUGGCAGUCAGAGGCGAUGAAGGGCGUGCUAAUCUGCGAUAAGCGCCGGUAAGGUGAUAUGAACCGUUAUAACCGGCGAUACCCGAAUGGGGAAACCCAGUGUGAUUCGUCACACUAUCAUUAACUGAAUCCAUAGGUUAAUGAGGCGAACCGGGGGAACUGAAACAUCUAAGUACCCCGAGGAAAAGAAAUCAACCGAGAUUCCCCCAGUAGCGGCGAGCGAACGGGGAGGAGCCCAGAGCCUGAAUCAGCAUGUGUGUUAGUGGAAGCGUCUGGAAAGGCGCGCGAUACAGGGUGACAGCCCCGUACACAAAAGCGCAUGUGCUGUGAGCUCGAUGAGUAGGGCGGGACACGUGGUAUCCUGUCUGAAUAUGGGGGGACCAUCCUCCAAGGCUAAAUACUCCUGACUGACCGAUAGUGAACCAGUACCGUGAGGGAAAGGCGAAAAGAACCCCGGCGAGGGGAGUGAAAAAGAACCUGAAACCGUGUACGUACAAGCAGUGGGAGCCCCACCACCAAAGCGUUUCGCUUUGUGUGGUGCACAAAGAAGCGUAACGACAGCACUGAAUGACGGUUAACGGAGCGCAAGCGACGUUCAACAUACAAAGUCAAGCAGUGGAGCGCUUUGGGGUGGGGUGACUGCGUACCUUUUGUAUAAUGGGUCAGCGACUUAUAUUCUGUAGCAAGGUUAACCGAAUAGGGGAGCCGGAGGGAAACCGAGUCUUAAUUGGGCGUUAAGUUGCAGGGUAUAGACCCGAAACCCGGUGAUCUAGCCAUGGGCAGGUUGAAGGUUGGGUAACACUAACUGGAGGACCGAACCGACUAAUGUUGAAAAAUUAGCGGAUGACCUGUGGCUGGGGGUGAAAGGCCAAUCAAACCGGGAGAUAGCUGGUUCUCCCCGAAAGCUAUUUAGGUAGCGCCUCGUGAAUUCAUCUCCGGGGGUAGAGCACUGUUUCGGCUAGGGGGCCAUCCCGGCUUACCAACCCGAUGCAAACUGCGAAUACCGGAGAAUGUUAUCACGGGAGACACACGGCGGGUGCUAACGUCCGUCGUGAAGAGGGAAACAACCCAGACCGCCAGCUAAGGUCCCAAAGUCAUGGUUAAGUGGGAAACGAUGUGGGAAGGCCCAGACAGCCAGGAUGUUGGCUUAGAAGCAGCCAUCAUUUAAAGAAAGCGUAAUAGCUCACUGGUCGAGUCGGCCUGCGCGGAAGAUGUAACGGGGCUAAACCAUGCACCGAAGCUGCGGCAGCGACGCUUAUGCGUUGUUGGGUAGGGGAGCGUUCUGUAAGCCUGUGAAGGUGGCCUGUGAGGGUUGCUGGAGGUAUCAGAAGUGCGAAUGCUGACAUAAGUAACGAUAAAGCGGGUGAAAAGCCCGCUCGCCGGAAGACCAAGGGUUCCUGUCCAACGUUAAUCGGGGCAGGGUGAGUCGACCCCUAAGGCGAGGCCGAAAGGCGUAGUCGAUGGGAAACGGGUUAAUAUUCCCGUACUUGGUGUUACUGCGAAGGGGGGACGGAGAAGGCUAUGUUGGCCGGGCGACGGUUGUCCCGGUUUAAGCGUGUAGGUGUGUGUUCCAGGUAAAUCCGGUUCACUUUAACACUGAGGCGUGAUGACGAGGCACUACGGUGCUGAAGCAACAAAUGCCCUGCUUCCAGGAAAAGCCUCUAAGCAUCAGGUAACAUCAAAUCGUACCCCAAACCGACACAGGUGGUCAGGUAGAGAAUACCAAGGCGCUUGAGAGAACUCGGGUGAAGGAACUAGGCAAAAUGGUGCCGUAACUUCGGGAGAAGGCACGCUGANUCAGUCGAAGAUACCAGCUGGCUGCAACUGUUUAUUAAAAACACAGCACUGUGCAAACACGAAAGUGGACGUAUACGGUGUGACGCCUGCCCGGUGCCGGAAGGUUAAUUGAUGGGGUCAGCGCAAGCGAAGCUCCUGAUCGAAGCCCCGGUAAACGGCGGCCGUAACUAUAACGGUCCUAAGGUAGCGAAAUUCCUUGUCGGGUAAGUUCCGACCUGCACGAAUGGCGUAAUGAUGGCCAGGCUGUCUCCACCCGAGACUCAGUGAAAUUGAACUCGCUGUGAAGAUGCAGUGUACCCGCGGCAAGACGGAAAGACCCCGUGAACCUUUACUAUAGCUUGACACUGAACAUUGAGCCUUGAUGUGUAGGAUAGGUGGGAGGCUUUGAAGCGUGGACGCCAGUCUGCGUGGAGCCGACCUUGAAAUACCACCCUUUAAUGUUUGAUGUUCUAACGUGGACCCGUUACCCGGGUUGCGGACAGUGUCUGGUGGGUAGUUUGACUGGGGCGGUCUCCUCCUAAAGAGUAACGGAGGAGCACGAAGGUUGGCUAAUCCUGGUCGGACAUCAGGAGGUUAGUGCAAUGGCAUAAGCCAGCUUGACUGCGAGCGUGACGGCGCGAGCAGGUGCGAAAGCAGGUCAUAGUGAUCCGGUGGUUCUGAAUGGAAGGGCCAUCGCUCAACGGAUAAAAGGUACUCCGGGGAUAACAGGCUGAUACCGCCCAAGAGUUCAUAUCGACGGCGGUGUUUGGCACCUCGAUGUCGGCUCAUCACAUCCUGGGGCUGAAGUAGGUCCCAAGGGUAUGGCUGUUCGCCAUUUAAAGUGGUACGCGAGCUGGGUUUAGAACGUCGUGAGACAGUUCGGUCCCUAUCUGCCGUGGGCGCUGGAGAACUGAGGGGGGCUGCUCCUAGUACGAGAGGACCGGAGUGGACGCAUCACUGGUGUUCGGGUUGUCAUGCCAAUGGCACUGCCCGGUAGCUAAAUGCGGAAGAGAUAAGUGCUGAAAGCAUCUAAGCACGAAACUUGCCCCGAGAUGAGUUCUCCCUGAGACUUAGAGUCUCCUGAAGGAACGUUGAAGACGACGACGUUGAUAGGCCGGGUGUGUAAGCGCAGCGAUGCGUUGAGCUAACCGGUACUAAUGAACCGUGAGGCUUAACC
rnacentral:rRNA from 1 species